CAUGGGAUACACAAAUUAAGUUCAGGUCCAAGCGCGGUUGUGGUCUGGUUGAAUGAGGGCCUAAAUAUAAUAUCUAGGGGUGGCGGAAGCACAAGCUCUCGGAUACGAAGAUGUCUUUCGCGGUAACUACAGACGCAGAGUCUGUCUUGUAUUUUACUGUUCAUUUUAUUCCCACCUUCUCAAAAGCAGUGAUUGACGUACAGAUUGGUGACGCAUACGACGUACCAUGCAUAUGGCGGCGAUGCUACAGUUGCAACUUGGUGAGCCGUGAACGUUUGGGUAGUUGGGAACGACGCCAUUCAUCCUUUCAUCUGUUACCACAGACGUUCCUCCGAAAAGCAACUCAAUCGUCUUCAUUGGCUGAAGGAUGUUCUUGAUACUGUUGCCAACAAGAACCAUAUUAUCGUCCUUUCUAAUAAUAAGAGGAAACGUUGACAACACAAGGGACGACUGCAGAUGAAUACUUCUUUUCACCAAUGUUUUCUAUCAAAGUGUGCGAAAUUAUAAUCCGUGAAUUUCGUGUGCGAACAGUAAAAAAUAACUAUACUGUUUUUCUUAAGUGUAUGUUUCCUACAAGUAGCAUUUGAUAUAAUCAUACACCACCCUCACCCCCCCCCCUCAAAUAGUUCCCUUGCAAGAAGCAUAUGACGGUUCCGAAUACGGGUCUCAUAUUGUGAACUGAAGCAAGUGCAUUAAAACAUCGAG